rnacentral:lncRNA from 1 species
ACAAGUUGCACAUUUUUAUCAUGAGGAAUUUUGUUUUAGUUUUAGUUGUCAUUGCUUCAGAAAGAAAGGAAAAGGCUCCAGAAGAUAAGAGCUAACCUUGAACAGGAGAAGAGUCUUCUAAUCUCUACAUAUUCCCCUGGAAUCAACUGCGGACCAGCUGUCUCCUCCUUGGAGCCGUUGGAAAGCAAGGGGUUGCUGCAGGCACAUUUGAUCUUUGACAAAAUUGCUGCUGAGUCCGGUGAAAAAUGAGUUUGAACUGCACCCAAGAAGGAUGAGAAGGACGUAGAGACUGUGUGCUGCAAUCUCACAGGCCAUCCUGGCUUCUCAGUUGCUCUGUAAUUAAGCCUCAGCCUCUCUCCUCCAAUCAGAAGGCAGCCCGCGAGACUGCCUCUUCUCACCGGGACGGAGGGGGAAGGGAGAGAGGUUUGAG